UACGUAGGGGGCUAGCGUUGUCCGGAAUCAUUGGGCGUAAAGCGCGCGUAGGCGGCCCGGUAAGUCCGCUGUGAAAGUCAAAGGCUCAACCUUUGAAUGUCAGCGGAUACUGCCGGGCUAGAAUCCGGAAGAGGCGAGUGGAACUCCUGGUGUAGCGGUGGAAUGCGCAGAUAUCAGGAAGAACACCAACGGCGAAGGCAGCUCGCUGGGACGGAACUGACGCUAAGGCGCGAAAGCUAGGGGAGCAAACAGG
rnacentral:rRNA from 1 species